AUGUUCAGUGCAGACAUGUGGCAGGAAUACAUAUGGGAUACAGGCAAGCAGAUCAGCAAAAGAUGCGACCGGAAACAGGCGUGCGUACGUACAGAAAACAAAAAAAGAGUGCCACUGCUCAACUGGUCUAUGAUCCUAAUCAUUCAUUCUUCUACCCUACAAAAUUCACUUGUGUCCAACAUUAACUUAUCUGUCCGCACUAAAACUUAUCUUUUGUUUAAUUUCAGAUUGGUCCUUGGUGCUACCGAUGAUCUCUACAGCCCGACUGUUCUUCAACUUCAUCAACUGGUCUUCCAUUCAUCCUUCUUCUUUUGGUAUAAAUAUGUCUUUGUCUUGGGGAAGGCAUGGAGCCCGUGGGAGCUCUUUGCCCUACUGAUUACGAAUCUCGAUAAGAAACCAUCAGGCCAUGUCAUGUCUCCCGAUAAAAGAUGA
rnacentral:rRNA from 1 species